UUUGACCUCAAAUCAGGUAGGACUACCCGCUGAACUUAAGCAUAUCAAUAAGCGGAGGAAAAGAAACUAACAAGGAUUCCCCUAGUAACUGCGAGUGAAGCGGGAAAAGCUCAAAUUUGAAAUCUGGCAGUCUCUUUUUUCUUCUUUGGCUGUCCGAGUUGUAAUCUAGAGAAGUGCUUACCCGCRCUGGACCAUGUAUAAGUCUCCUGGAAUGGAGCGUCAYAGAGGGUGAGAAUCCCGUCUUUGACAUGGACUGSCCGUGGGUUGUGG
rnacentral:rRNA from 1 species